AGAGUUUGAUCCUGGCUCAGGACGAACGCUGGCGGCGUGCCUAAUACAUGCAAGUAGAACGCUGAAGAGAGGAGCUUGCUCUUCUUGGAUGAGUUGCGAACGGGUGAGUAACGCGUAGGUAACCUGCCUUGUAGCGGGGGAUAACUAUUGGAAACGAUAGCUAAUACCGCAUAACAAUGGGUGACUCAUGUCAUUUAUUUGAAAGGGGCAAAUGCUCCACUACAAGAUGGACCUGCGUUGUAUUAGCUAGUAGGUGAGGUAACGGCUCACCUAGGCGACGAUACAUAGCCGACCUGAGAGGGUGAUCGGCCACACUGGGACUGAGACACGGCCCAGACUCCUACGGGAGGCAGCAGUAGGGAAUCUUCGGCAAUGGGGGCAACCCUGACCGAGCAACGCCGCGUGAGUGAAGAAGGUUUUCGGAUCGUAAAGCUCUGUUGUAAGAGAAGAACGAGUGUGAGAGUGGAAAGUUCACACUGUGACGGUAACUUACCAGAAAGGGACGGCUAACUACGUGCCAGCAGCCGCGGUAAUACGUAGGUCCCGAGCGUUGUCCGGAUUUAUUGGGCGUAAAGCGAGCGCAGGCGGUUAGAUAAGUCUGAAGUUAAAGGCUGUGGCUUAACCAUAGUACGCUUUGGAAACUGUUUAACUUGAGUGCAGAAGGGGAGAGUGGAAUUCCAUGUGUAGCGGUGAAAUGCGUAGAUAUAUGGAGGAACACCGGUGGCGAAAGCGGCUCUCUGGUCUGUAACUGACGCUGAGGCUCGAAAGCGUGGGGAGCGAACAGGAUUAGAUACCCUGGUAGUCCACGCCGUAAACGGUGGAUGCUGGAUGUGGGGCCCGUUCCACGGGUUCCGUGUCGGAGCUAACGCGUUAAGCAUCCCGCCUGGGGAGUACGGCCGCAAGGCUAAAACUCAAAGAAAUUGACGGGGGCCCGCACAAGCGGCGGAGCAUGCGGAUUAAUUCGAUGCAACGCGAAGAACCUUACCUGGGCUUGACAUGUUCCCGACGGUCGUAGAGAUACGGCUUCCCUUCGGGGCGGGUUCACAGGUGGUGCAUGGUCGUCGUCAGCUCGUGUCGUGAGAUGUUGGGUUAAGUCCCGCAACGAGCGCAACCCUCGCCCCGUGUUGCCAGCGGAUUAUGCCGGGAACUCACGGGGGACCGCCGGGGUUAACUCGGAGGAAGGUGGGGAUGACGUCAGAUCAUCAUGCCCCUUACGUCCAGGGCUUCACGCAUGCUACAAUGGCCGGUACAACGGGAUGCGACGCGGCGACGCGGAGCGGAUCCCUGAAAACCGGUCUCAGUUCGGAUCGCAGUCUGCAACUCGACUGCGUGAAGGCGGAGUCGCUAGUAAUCGCGAAUCAGCAACGUCGCGGUGAAUGCGUUCCCGGGCCUUGUACACACCGCCCGUCAAGUCAUGAAAGUGGGCAGCACCCGAAGCCGGUGGCCUAACCCCUUGUGGGAUGGAGCCGUCUAAGGUGAGGCUCGUGAUUGGGACUAAGUCGUAACAAGGUAGCCGUACCGGAAGGUGCGGCUG
rnacentral:rRNA from 1 species